rnacentral:rRNA from 1 species
AUUGAACGCUGGCGGCAGGCCUAACACAUGCAAGUCGAACGAGUGGCGGAAGGGUGAGUAAUGUCUGGGAAACUGCCUGAUGGAGGGGUAUAACUACUGGAAACGGUAGCUAAUACCGCAUACCAUCGGAUGUGCCCAGAUGGGAUUAGCUAGUAGGAGGGGUAACGGCGCACAUAGGCGACGAUCCCUAGCUGGGCUGAGAGGAUGACGAGCGAAACUGGAACUGGGACACGGUCCAGACUCCUACGGGUGGCAGCAGUGGGGAAUAUUUCACAAUGGGCGCAAGCCUGAUGCAUCCAUGCCGCGUGUAUGAAGAAGGCCUUCGGGUUGUAAAGUACUUUCAGCGGGGAGGCGUUACCCGCAGAAGAAGCACCGGCUAACUCCGUGCCAGCAGCCGCGGUAAUAC